GCUUUACACUGUAGCUGUCAGCAUUUUGACUGAUGUAGAAGCACUACCUGCUCUUGUUUGCCCUUCCUUUCACUUGAGUGCACACAGAACCUGGCUGAAGAACUGGAAAAGUUACUCAUUUGUAGACUGGAUGUGGAGAAGUGUGGCAUUUCGUAUUUAUUCAUUUACUGGAUUUAUAAGGCUGCCUAACUCAAACAAUGUGACUUGGAUGGUGUACCACAGAAAACAAAUAUAGAAGUAAUUCAAGUUGAAUUGGAUUUCAACAAAAAAAGGGUAAGCUCCAAAAAAGUCAAGAUGACAGCUGCAACAGUGUAAUUAAAACUCUGCCUGUUUUUCUAUAUGUGUCGCC